rnacentral:rRNA from 1 species
GGGGUGCAGCAGGCGCGAAAUCUUCACAAUGUGCGAAAGCACGAUGAGGGGAUCCCAAGUGUUGGUUCGUAAGAAUCAUCUGUUUCUUUGUCUAAAAAACAGAGAGAGUAAGAGCUGGGUAAGACGGGUGCCAGCCGCCGCGGUAAUACCUGCAGCUCAAGUGGUGGCCGCUAUUAUUGGGCCUAAAACGUCCGUAGCCGGUUUAGUAAAUGCUUGGGUAAAUUGUGUAGCUCAACUAUACGAAUACCGAGUAGACUGCUGAACUUGGAACCGGGAGAGGCUAGAGGUACUCCUAGGGUAGAGGUGAAAUUCUGUAAUCCUAGGGGGACCACCAGUGGCGAAGGCGUCUAGCUAGAACGGGUCUGACGGUGAGGGACGAAGCCCUGGGGCGCAAACCGGAUUAGAUACCCGGGUAGUCCAGGGUGUAAACGCUGCUCGCUUGAUGUUAGUUGGGCUCCGAGCCCAACUAGUGUCGGAGAGAAGUUGUUAAGCGAGCUGCCUGGGAAGUACGGUCGCAAGGCUGAAACUUAAAGGAAUUGGCGGGGGAGCACAGCAACGGGUGGAGCGUGCGGUUUAAUUGGAUUCAACGCCGGAAAUCUCACCGGAGGCGACGGUUAUAUGAAGGCCAGGCUGAUGACCUUGCCUGAUUUUCCGAGAAGUGGUGCAUGGCCGUCGUCAGUUCGUACCGUGAGGCGUUCUGUUAAGUCAGACAACGAACGAGACCCUCAUCUUUAGU